rnacentral:rRNA from 1 species
UUAAAUUGAAGAGUUUGAUCAUGGCUCAGAUUGAACGCUGGCGGCAGGCCUAACACAUGCAAGUCGAACGGUAACAGAAAGCAGCUUGCUGCUUUGCUGACGAGUGGCGGACGGGUGAGUAAUGUCUGGGAAACUGCCCGAUGGAGGGGGAUAACUACUGGAAACGGUAGCUAAUACCGCAUAACGUCGCAAGACCAAAGAGGGGGACCUUCGGGCCUCUUGCCAUCGGAUGUGCCCAGAUGGGAUUAGCUAGUAGGUGGGGUAACGGCUCACCUAGGCGACGAUCCCUAGCUGGUCUGAGAGGAUGACCAGCCACACUGGAACUGAGACACGGUCCAGACUCCUACGGGAGGCAGCAGUGGGGAAUAUUGCACAAUGGGCGCAAGCCUGAUGCAGCCAUGCCGCGUGUAUGAAGAAGGCCUUCGGGUUGUAAAGUACUUUCAGCGGGGAGGAAGGGAGUAAAGUUAAUACCUUUGCUCAUUGACGUUACCCGCAGAAGAAGCACCGGCUAACUCCGUGCCAGCAGCCGCGGUAAUACGGAGGGUGCAAGCGUUAAUCGGAAUUACUGGGCGUAAAGCGCACGCAGGCGGUUUGUUAAGUCAGAUGUGAAAUCCCGGGCUCAACCUGGGAACUGCAUCUGAUACUGGCAAGCUUGAGUCUCGUAGAGGGGGUAGAAUUCCAGGUGUAGCGGUGAAAUGCGUAGAGAUCUGGAGGAAUACCGGUGGCGAAGGCGGCCCCCUGGACGAAGACUGACGCUCAGGUGCGAAAGCGUGGGGAGCAAACAGGAUUAGAUACCCUGGUAGUCCACGCCGUAAACGAUGUCGACUUGGAGGUUGUGCCCUUGAGGCGUGGCUUCCGGAGCUAACGCGUUAAGUCGACCGCCUGGGGAGUACGGCCGCAAGGUUAAAACUCAAAUGAAUUGACGGGGGCCCGCACAAGCGGUGGAGCAUGUGGUUUAAUUCGAUGCAACGCGAAGAACCUUACCUGGUCUUGACAUCCACGGAAGUUUUCAGAGAUGAGAAUGUGCCUUCGGGAACCGUGAGACAGGUGCUGCAUGGCUGUCGUCAGCUCGUGUUGUGAAAUGUUGGGUUAAGUCCCGCAACGAGCGCAACCCUUAUCCUUUGUUGCCAGCGGUCCGGCCGGGAACUCAAAGGAGACUGCCAGUGAUAAACUGGAGGAAGGUGGGGAUGACGUCAAGUCAUCAUGGCCCUUACGACCAGGGCUACACACGUGCUACAAUGGCGCAUACAAAGAGAAGCGACCUCGCGAGAGCAAGCGGACCUCAUAAAGUGCGUCGUAGUCCGGAUUGGAGUCUGCAACUCGACUCCAUGAAGUCGGAAUCGCUAGUAAUCGUGGAUCAGAAUGCCACGGUGAAUACGUUCCCGGGCCUUGUACACACCGCCCGUCACACCAUGGGAGUGGGUUGCAAAAGAAGUAGGUAGCUUAACCUUCGGGAGGGCGCUUACCACUUUGUGAUUCAUGACUGGGGUGAAGUCGUAACAAGGUAACCGUAGGGGAACCUGCGGUUGGAUCACCUCCUUACCUUAAAGAAGC